rnacentral:rRNA from 1 species
UACGUAGGGUGCAGGCGUUAAUCGGAAUUACUGGGCGUAAAGCGUGCGCAGGCGGCUAUGCAAGACCGAUGUGAAAUCCCCGGGCUCAACCUGGGAACUGCAUUAGUGACUGCAUGGCUGGAGUGCGGCAGAGGGGGAUGGAAUUCCGCGUGUAGCAGUGAAAUGCGUAGAGAUGUGGAGGAACACCGAUGGCGAAGGCAGCCCCCUGGGCCUGUACUGACGCUCAUGCACGAAAGUGUGGGGAGCAAACAGG